rnacentral:rRNA from 1 species
UACAGAGGGGGCAAGCGUUGUUCGGAAUUACUGGGCGUAAAGGGCGCGUAGGCGGCCUUCUAAGUCGAACGUGAAAUCCCUGGGCUCAACCCAGGAACUGCGUCCGAUACUGGAAGGCUUGAAUCCGGGAGAGGGAUGCGGAAUUCCAGGUGUAGCGGUGAAAUGCGUAGAUAUCUGGAGGAACACCGGUGGCGAAGGCGGCGUUCUGGACUGCAACUGACACUGAGGAACGAAAGCCAGGGGAGCAAACGGG